rnacentral:rRNA from 1 species
UACGUAGGGGCAAGCGUUGUCCGGAUUUAUUGGGCGUAAAGAGCGUGUAGGCGGUUUGGUAGGUCCGUUGUGAAAACUCGAGGCUCAACCUCGAGACGCCGGCGGAAACCAUCAGGCUAGAGUCCGGAAGAGGAGAGUGGAAUUCCUGGUGUAGCGGUGAAAUGCGCAGAUAUCAGGAGGAACACCGGUGGCGAAGGCGGGUCUCUGGGCCGAUACUGACGCUGAGGAGCGAAAGCGUGGGGAGCAAACAGG